rnacentral:lncRNA from 1 species
UUUAUUUAGCUCAAUUUACAUUUUAGUUACUUAUGUUUGAAAUGUUACGUUUUAAUCACGUUACGGUGUUGUAACAUUUUAGUCACUAAGUUAUUAAUUGUCGUUAACAGUGUAACAUGUGGCACGUUAAAUAAUCAUUUCAAACAAAAAUUUUAAGUUAAUUUAUACAAUUGGUUCCCUUAUUUUUCAUUUUGAUCAAAUUAAUUUUUUUCUUUAUGUUCUUUUAACUUUCAUUUUUUUCUUUUUUUUCAAUCUCUUCCAUUCUCAAUUUAUUUUAACGUAGUUUUUCUAUGUUUUUCAUUUGUUAAAACUAGUCUCUAUACUUUUAUUUUUUUUUUGAACAAUUUAAUUCUUUCGAGUGAGGUGAGCUUGUGAACUAGUUUUAACAAAUAGAAAAUAUAGAAAAACUACGUUAAAAGAAAACAGGGGGAGAAGUAGAAGAGAAUGAAAAAUAAAGAAAAAAAAAGAAAAAUAAUAAUUUGAUCAAAAUAAAAAAAAAUAUAGGGACCAAUUAUGAAAUUUAACCUAAAAUUUUCAAUUGAAACGUGCCAAGUCAGCUUACCGUUACACCGUUAAUAGAAAUUAACGGCUCAGUGACUAAAAUGCUACAACAUAAUAACGUAAGUGACUAAAACGUAACAUUUCAAACAUAAGUGACUAAAAUAUAACCUAAAUCAAACAAAAGUUAUUAUUUUAAUAGUUUACCCAUUUAAAUUAUUUAUAUUUUAGGAGGACUAAAGGAAAAAUUUCUUAUUUAACCAAGAUAGACCUUGCCUGCCCCUUGGCUUUGCCACUAAAUGCAACGACCAUUCAGAUUUGUUAGAGCACAUUCUCUCCUUUGAUCCUCCAACCCGAGCAACUUAGCAAGCUUCACCCUUCCAUUAUGAUCUUAAUCCAGUGAGGUUUCCAUCUUUUGCCCAAUGGUGGGUUUCAAUUCAUUAUCAAAGGAAAACCAAAGGACCAAUCCAAGUGUGGAAUGAAGCACUCCAAAGCUACUCCUCCUUUCUAUCAAAAAAUCAACCUCUGACUCUGAUUCCAUCCUCUCGAGACUCAACUUGGAUCCUCCUUCCACCAGAAGGUGCAGUACAUAUUAACUGUGAUGUAGCGUUGUCUUUAAUUUGCUUCAUCCAAAGCUGGAAUAGUGGCUCUUGUACGAACCCAUCUUAGAAGUGUAAUUAUUGGAGCCAUCACGCUAAUAUAUUCCUUUUUGGUGUUGGUGGCUAAAGCCUUAUGCAUUGACGCUUGGCAAAGUACAUAUUAACUGUGAAGCAACGUUCUCUUCUGCUUCAUCCAAAGCUAGAAUAGUGGCUUUUGUUCGCAACCAUCUUAGAAGUGUAAUUGUUGGCGCCAGCGCACUAAUAUAUUCCUCUUCGGAAUUGGCGGCUAAAGUCUAUGCAUUGACGAUUGGCUCUAAGCUAAUCCACGAUCAUCAUGCAACGAGGUAUCUUGGAAUUUGACGACAAGCUAUGCAUCGACUUCCCUUGGGAAUCCUCCGGUUUUCAUGGCGGACAUUUCUUUUUUAUUCACUUCUAGGAAUUGUAUUAUGACUUGUGAUUGGAUUGCUUAACUUUCUUUAUAUAAGACUUGUCUAUUGAAUUAGGUACCCAACCUUCAAACUUAUUAACACUUUUUUUGUAAUGAAUGCUAGC